CCAGCCUGCCAGUGACUACAAGUUCAACGGCCGCGGUAUUUUGACCGUGCAAAGGUAGCGCAAUCACUUGUCUUUUAAAUAGAGACCUGUAUGAAUGGCUAAACGAGGGCUUAACUGUCUCCCCUUUCCAGUCAGUGAAAUUGAUCUGCCCGUGCAGAAGCGGACAUAAUAAUACAAGACGAGAAGACCCUUUGGAGCUUAAGGUACAAAACUCAACCACGUCAAGCAACUUAAUAAAAAGCAAAAACUUUGUGGAAUAUGAGACUUUACCUUCGGUUGGGGCGACCACGGAGGAAAACAAAGCCUCCAAGUGGAUUGGGAAAACCUCCUAAAACCAAGAGAGACAUCUCUAAGCCACAGAACAUCUGACCAAACAUGAUCCGGCCACCUAAGGCCGAUCAACGAACCAAGUUACCCUAGGGAUAACAGCGCAAUCCUCUCCCAGAGUCCAUAUCGACGAGAGGGUUUACGACCUCGAUGUUGGAUCAGGACAUCCUAAUGGUGCAGCCGCUAUUAAGGGUUCGUUUGUUCAACGAUUAAAGUCCUACGUGAUCUGA
rnacentral:rRNA from 1 species